GACGAACGCUGGCGGCGUGCUUAACACAUGCAAGUCGAACGGAAAGGCCCUGCUUUUGUGGGGUGCUCGAGUGGCGAACGGGUGAGUAACACGUGAGUAACCUGCCCUUGACUUUGGGAUAACUUCAGGAAACUGGGGCUAAUACCGGAUAGGAGCUCCUGCUGCAUGGUGGGGGUUGGAAAGUUUCGGCGGUUGGGGAUGGACUCGCGGCUUAUCAGCUUGUUGGUGGGGUAGUGGCUUACCAAGGCUUUGACGGGUAGCCGGCCUGAGAGGGUGACCGGCGACAUUGGGACUGAGAUACGGCCCAGACUCCUACGGGAGGCAGCAGUGGGGAAUAUUGCACAAUGGGCGGAAGCCUGAUGCAGCAACGCCGCGUGCGGGAUGACGGCCUUCGGGUUGUAAACCGCUUUCGCCUGCGACGAAGCGUGAGUGACGGUAAUGUGUAAAGAAGCACCGGCUAACUACGUG
rnacentral:rRNA from 1 species